rnacentral:pre_miRNA from 1 species
GCGUCAGAUUGAUAUACGUUACUCACAGUAACGUUUUAAAAGUAAAACGUUACUUACAGUGACGUAUAUCAACCUAAUAUUG